CCGUCUCGCGAGUGUCAGUGGCUACACGUGUUUCAGGAAAACAAUUAGUUUUGGUGUAAUUACUAGUGUAAUCUUUUACAGAAAAUCAAUUUUAAGCUAAAUUAUUACUAAAACAAGGGUGGUGGUACAUAAGUUUAUUUAUUCUCGGCCAAGAAUUUAUCAAUAUUGUCUCCGAACACUGGCAAGGCUGGCUCAAGAUAUAUACUGAUGCUUCUAAGCUGGACGAAGGUGGAUGCACAGGUGCUGCAGUAUGGAUCCCAGCAUACAAAAUAACAUUGAAUUUUAAGUGUCCUCCUGUUACAUCAGUGUUCACCGGAGAAUCUGUUGCUAUACUUGAAGCUAUUCGCUAUAUAAUCUCUCAUCAACUCAAUAACACUCUGAUUUUCACCGAUUCUCUAAGCUGUCUUCAAUCCAUUUUAGCCAAUCCCUUCAAAUCCAAAUCCAAAUUUCCAAUAAUUUUCAAAAUUCGAGAAGCCCUAUAUCAGUGUAAUCAGCUGAAUUUAAAAGUCGUUUUGGCCUGGAUCCCAAGUCAUCGAGGAAUUCCUGGUAAUGAAACAGUAGACUCAUCCGCCAAAAUUGCUAUAACCACUGGCUCGUUGGAACAUUACAAGUUAUAUGCGCAUGACGCUUCCUCCCUGCCACGCAGUCACCUUUACAAAUCGUGGAAUACUCACUGGGAAAAGUCUAAACGAUUGGCUGGUAGAUAUUAUGCAGACAUCCAACAGAGCAUUCCCACAAGACCCUGGUUCUUUAAAUAUCACCACUUAUCUAAAAGGACUGUUUCCAUUAUCUGUCGCUUGCGUCUUGGUCAUGCUUGUACCCCGGUUCACCUUGCAAAAAUGCGGAUUAAAGAUAAUUCCCUAUGUAUAUAAGUUUGCUUAGAUUGCAGCUACAAAAUUUUCUAUUUUUAUAACAACAACCACUGUGUAAAAGCUGCGCACGUGACAUUGGCGGAAUAGUGUGCCCUCAGUGGCGAAAAAACGCAAGUUCAUCGCCAUAAACCAAAGAAGAAGAAGAAGAA